GACGUAGGGCGCGAGCGUUGUCCGGAUUUAUUGGGCGUAAAGAGCUCGUAGGCGGCUUGUCGCGUCGACCGUGAAACCUCACAGCUCAACUGUGAGCCUGCGGUCGAUACGGGCAGGCUAGAGUUCGGUAGGGGAGACUGGAAUUCCUGGUGUAGCGGUGAGAUGCGUAGAUAUCUGGAGGAACACCGGUGGCGAAGGCGGCAUCCUGGACCGGCAUUGACGCUGAGGCGCGAAAGCCAGGGGAGCAAACGGG
rnacentral:rRNA from 1 species